AGGACAGAGUUAAUUUCUUUUCUUCGGAAAUCCCGAAAGGAAACUUCUCACUAAAGCUCAUGAAUGUAAGUAUGGAAGAUAAAGGAGAAUUCGUGUGUGAGGUCCACACCAGGAACAUGUCAGGACUUACCACUGUGUUUCUGGAAAGAAUUGGUAAUAGCACUCAUUUUGUUUUUCAUUCAGACAUGUGUGCUAAGCACCACUUAAAUUUUCUCCUGAAAAUGUAACUUCUACUUUAUCACAUUCCUACAGGUUUCUCUGCACUUCAUGUAUCCAUAUUAGCUUUGUGCUCUGUUGCACUGUUGCUUUCAAUGGAAUUGUGUCUUCCUGCUUUCCACAAUUUGAGAAGGAAUGUUCCUAACAGGAAAUGCAUGACGAUGUACGCUUUGCUUAUUCUUUGUCCAAAUAUCUGCGUCUGUGUUGCUUUUGGAUUGUGGUCAUCAGAAGGGAUUUUCUCAGAGGUCAUCAUUUGUUCAGCUGUCAGUAUCGGACGACCCAUCAUGCUGAUGAAGACCCCCGCCUUAUCUUGACGGAUUACCCUAGCCUGUGCAAAAAGUUGUGAAGUCUUUGGCUGUACCGCUUUACUACUCCAUUCUAGCAAUGGCUACAUGUUCAGGCUCAGACGGCAUAUGAACAUAUGAUAAGAUUAAUGGCGGUGGUAAUAGCUGUGUCUGUCAUCAGAGCUGUCAUUUUAGCAACCACUACCCAACACCCACCACCACCCAACACCCAAACCAUCACUAUCACAACCACUAUCCCACCCAACACCCCACUAAACACCCCAACCACCACCAUCUCCACCACC